GCCUCCUCAUCUCUGUCUUCCCCUUCAUAAGAGCCUGGAUCAACAUUAACAACAUUCUCCCCACCUUGGGAAACUUCAGAGUGCAACCUAUGCCUGCCAACCCUCCUGGCCCUGAGCAACCUGCAGAGACACUGAAACGAGAAGUGACUCAGAGCCAGCUGAAUCUGGAGUGCUCUAAGAGCCCGAUGGGGACAUUUGUUGAUGCCGGACCAAUUGCUGAGGCCUCCG